GUUUGGUUAAGUUAGAAAGGGCGCACGGUGGAUGCCUUGACACUAGGAGUCGAUGAAGGACGGGACUAACGCCGAUAUGCUUCGGGGAGCUGUAAGUAAGCUUUGAUCCGAAGAUUUCCGAAUGGGGAAACCCACCAUACGUAAUGGUAUGGUAUCCUUAYCUGAAUACAUAGGGUAAGGAAGACAGACCCAGGGAACUGAAACAUCUAAGUACCUGGAGGAAGAGAAAGCAAAUGCGAUUUCCUGAGUAGCGGCGAGCGAAACGGAACAUAGCCCAAACCAAGAGGCUUGCCUCUUGGGGUUGUAGGACAUUCUAUACGGAGUUACAAAGGAACGAGGUAGACGAAGCGACCUGGAAAGGUCCGUCGUAGAGGGUAACAACCCCGUAGUCGAAACUUCGUUCUCUCUUGAAUGUAUCCUG
rnacentral:rRNA from 1 species